rnacentral:siRNA from 1 species
CAUGCCGCGUGUUGAAGGCCAUGG